rnacentral:misc_RNA from 1 species
GCAACACUGAGGCUUCAGCCUUGCGUUGGCGGCCGGCCCCCUUGUUGAAAGGGGGCCGCCGCCCAAACUUCGACGGCGCCGCACCGCGGCCGACGAUGCGCAAAAAGCACCGGUUCGGCGAGCGGAGGGCGGCGGCCAGCCACUGAAACUAAA